rnacentral:rRNA from 1 species
UGGAUUGAGAGCUUGCUCUCAAGAAGUUAGCGGCGGACGGGUGAGUAACACGUGGGUAACCUGCCCAUAAGACUGGGAUAACUCCGGGAAACCGGGGCUAAUACCGGAUAAUAUUUUGAACUGCAUGGUUCGAAAUUGAAAGGCGGCUUCGGCUGUCACUUAUGGAUGGACCCGCGUCGCAUUAGCUAGUUGGUGAGGUAACGGCUCACCAAGGCAACGAUGCGUAGCCGACCUGAGAGGGUGAUCGGCCACACUGGGACUGAGACACGGCCCAGACUCCUACGGGAGGCAGCAGUAGGGAAUCUUCCGCAAUGGACGAAAGUCUGACGGAGCAACGCCGCGUGAGUGAUGAAGGCUUUCGGGUCGUAAAACUCUGUUGUUAGGGAAGAACAAGUGCUAGUUGAAUAAGCUGGCACCUUGACGGUACCUAACCAGAAAGCCACGGCUAACUACGUGCCAGCAGCCGCGGUAAUACGUAGGUGGCAAGCGUUAUCCGGAAUUAUUGGGCGUAAAGCGCGCGCAGGUGGUUUCUUAAGUCUGAUGUGAAAGCCCACGGCUCAACCGUGGAGGGUCAUUGGAAACUGGGAGACUUGAGUGCAGAAGAGGAAAGUGGAAUUCCAUGUGUAGCGGUGAAAUGCGUAGAGAUAUGGAGGAACACCAGUGGCGAAGGCGACUUUCUGGUCUGUAACUGACACUG